GACGAACGCUGGCGGCGUGCUUAACACAUGCAAGUCGAACGGAAAGGCCCUGCUUUUGUGGGGUGCUCGAGUGGCGAACGGGUGAGUAACACGUGAGUAACCUGCCCUUGACUUUGGGAUAACUUCAGGAAACUGGGGCUAAUACCGGAUAGGAGCUCCUGCUGCAUGGUGGGGGUUGGAAAGUUUCGGCGGUUGGGGAUGGACUCGCGGCUUAUGAGCUUGUUGGUGGGGUAGUGGCUUACCAAGGCUUUGACGGGUAGCCGGCCUGAGAGGGUGACCGGCCACAUUGGGACUGAGGUACGGCCCAGACUCCUACGGGAGGCAGCAGUGGGGAAUAUUGCACAGUGGGCGGAAGCCUGAUGCAGCAACGCCGCGUGCGGGAUGACGGCCUUCGGGUUGUAAACCGCUUUCGCCUGUGACGAAGCGUGAGUGACGGUAAUGAGUAAAGAAGCACCGGCUAACUACGUG
rnacentral:rRNA from 1 species